AAAUCACACACACGCUCCGUCACAUGGCUCCGGGUGCCUUUUCUUCCCAGGAAGAAGGGUUGGGUCAUGCGGGAGCGUGGAGGCCUAAC
rnacentral:sRNA from 1 species